UACAGAGGGGGCAAGCGUUGCUCGGAAUUACUGGGCGUAAAGGGCGCGUAGGCGGGAUGGCAAGUCGGCCGUGAAAUCCUUCGGCUCAACCGAAGAACGUCGAUCGAUACUGCUGUUCUUGAGGGUUGCAGAGGAGACUGGAAUUCCCGGUGUAGCGGUGAAAUGUGUAGAGAUCGGGAGGAACACCCGUGGCGAAGGCGGCCAGCUGGGCCGUCCCUGACGCUGAGGCGCGAAGGCGUGGGGAGCGAACGGG
rnacentral:rRNA from 1 species